rnacentral:rRNA from 1 species
UGAGGAAUCUUCCGCAAUGGGCGAAAGCCUGACGGAGCGACACCGCGUGAAGGAUGAAGCCUUUGUUGGUGUAAACUUCUUUUCUGUGGGAAGAUAAUGACGGUACCACAGGAAUAAGGGGCGGCAAACUACGUGCCAGCAGCCGCGGUAAUACGUAGGCCCCAAGCGUUAUCCGGAAUUACUGGGCGUAAAGCGUGCGUAGGUGGAAUGAAAAGUCAGAUGUGAAAGGCUGGGGCUCAACCCCAUGUUUGCAUCCGAAACUCUCAUUCUAGAAUUAGGGAGAGGCAAGCAGAAUCGUACGAGUAGGGGUGCAAUCCGUUGAUACGUACGAGAAUACCAAAAGCGAAGGCAGCUUGCUGGAACUAUAUUGACACUGAGGCACGAAAGCGUGGGGAGCGAA